AUGAACGCUGGCGGCGUGCCUAAUACAUGCAAGUCGCGCGAACAGACGAGGAGCUUGCUCCUCUGACGUUAGCGGCGGACGGGUGAGUAACACGUGGAUAACCUACCUAUAAGACUGGGAUAACUUCGGGAAACCGGAGCUAAUACCGGAUAAUAUAUUGAACCGCAUGGUUCAAUAGUGAAAGACGGUUUUGCUGUCACUCAUAGAUGGAUCCGCGCCGCAUUAGCUAGUUGGUAAGGUAACGGCUUACCAAGGCAACGAUGCGUAGCCGACCUGAGAGGGUGAUCGGCCACACUGGAACUGAGACACGGUCCAGACUCCUACGGGAGGCAGCAGUAGGGAAUCUUCCGCAAUGGGCGAAAGCCUGACGGAGCAACGCCGCGUGAGUGAUGAAGGUCUUCGGAUCGUAAAACUCUGUUAUUAGGGAAGAACAAAUGUGUAAGUAACUAUGCACGUCUUGACGGUACCUAAUCAGAAAGCCACGGCUAACUACGUG
rnacentral:rRNA from 1 species